CGAGGCUGGACUUGGGCGGGGGUGGAGGGGAGCAGCCCCCGCGAGUGCUACCCGGUGCCCUCCGAUCCCGGCGGCGGCGGCCGGUCGAGGAGGCCUGGCCCUCGGCCGUCGGCCUCCCCCAUUGUCCGCCCGCCGCGGCCUCCUGCAACGCUGGCUGGCGGGGAAACCCGCGGCCCGGGACAGGCGUCCUUGACGUUGAUUAGCCCAGGCGGUCGUGUUUAGAAACUGCAGGCCCGGCUGUCGGUCUGCGCCGAAGCGAUCCGUUUGUCGGUUUAAUUAGAAGAGCAAAGAACCCAGGAGCAAAGGGGACAACUCUUCUCCCGAUCUAAGCCCCUGAGAGCCUUUAGUAGAAGAUACUUUCAACGUUUUUUACUGAUGACAUCUGACUAGUAACCUUCAGCGUAGGCAUCUGGAAGGCUUACUACUCUGGGGGCUGAGGGCAGGCUGCCCCAAGAUGGGCCACUCUUGGCAUGAAGGUUAUUUCGAGCUGACGGCAACGGAGACCCUGCGGGCUCAACAGAACUUUUUGCCCCUCCCUUAAUUACAUGGAAGAAUCUAAAUUGGGAGUCUUUCCAAGAACACUAGUCAUUACCAGAGAUAAAUUUUAUCUCAGGGACCCAUCGAAUGGCAGGACAAACAGCUAAUUAGCAAACAUUUGCUUUUUCUUAUUGCCCUGUGAAUUACAUUCCUUCCUUCAAAGUCCCAGACCCUUACCUUUUUCUUAAUUCGGGAUGACAUAUAUACCUCAUUUUGUCUGACUGUCUCUGGAAUUUCCAUGUCUCUGUAGAUGCCCCAUGUGUAAGCUAUUAAAUUUGAUUUUUUUCCUGCUAA